rnacentral:lncRNA from 1 species
CCUCUGCUGCUUUGGAACAGAUCACCACUGCAAGAGAGGAAGCUGCUACUGUGAUGAAUUCUGCCACGAGGUGUCAGACUGCUGCCCAGACCACCGCACCCUGUGCACCCUGGAUAACUCACAUGCAGGCUCCUUCCCACCCCUGGCGGAGCCGGAUGCUGUGAUGGACAGAGGCAAGCCCCUUGCUUGUACUUCAGGCCAAGGCCAGGAUGUGGACUGGAUGCCUCCUGAGGGCCCUGAUAAUCCUGAGAUCCUCACAUUUGGUCCAUUUCGUACCAAAAGUGCCCACAUAUUCCUCCCAGCUUUGUUUCCCCACUGCUCCUGACCACCUGCUGCUCCCCUCUGAGCUCCUUUCCCAGAUCCCCACAGGGAGAGGCUAAGCUGUUGGUGGUUGGGGAUCAGGGUGGCGAGUGAGGUGGUUGGGUCACCUAACUGCCCCCGCAUCUCUUGCAACAUAGAUGCCUCUUGACCUGACCCAUGUAGACUUUUGAGGGAAGACAGGAGUCUGCAGAGAGGUGCUAGGGAUGUUACAUAGGAGGAGGGAGACUGGGAGUCAGGGAGGAGGCCAGGAGCUUUUGCUUUGUGUUUCUCAGCUUCUCAGAAUACCAAGAUGGUGCUGCAGAUGGUGCUGAGGAGGGAGACCCCCCCGAGCCCUGCAAGAAGCAACCUAGACUGGAUACAGAAUGUGGUGAGUACCCUGGUGGUUCUCCCGGAAGGGGUGCUGACAACCUGCUCCUGCCUCCCUGGCCUGUAGACCCCAGAGUCAGGGAACCACUACCAAGGGGGGAAAGAGACCUGAGCUGGGGCACAGCUCCACGGUUUUAGGGCUAGGAGCCAUGGUAUCUGACCAUGGACACUGACACCUGAAUUUCAUAUAAUUUUCAUGUGUCAUGACAUAUUCUUUUGACUUUUUUCAACCACUUAAAAUAUAAAAAACAUUCUUAACUUGUGAUCUGCACACACACACACACACACACACACACACACACACACACAAACCUGCAACAAGUCAGACUUGGCCCACGGAUUGUGGUUGGCUGCUCUCUGCCCUAAAUCAUCCUUUGUUCUUUACUUUUCGUUUGGGUCGUGACUUCAGCACUGACCUGUCCAGAGCUCUCUGCCCAGAACUGGAGCAGAGGCUUCAGUCCCCACUCUAGCAUAUUAUGACCAUUGGGCAGAAAGAAAGGCAGCAUGGUACAAGGAAAGAGCAUGGACUCGGGAGCCAGCAAGACCUGGGUUCAAAUCCUGUCUCUACCACUUAUUACCUGGAUGAUUACUGGAUGACCUGAAGUAACUUCUUCUGCCUUUCUGAGCUUCCCUUUCCUCAUCUGUGUCCCAGAGCUUGCCCUGUAGAGCUGUUACAAAAGGGCCUUGGUAGAUGUACAACGAGACAUAGCUAUUAUUUGGGGACAUGCAAAUAAGCUGCAGAGGGUGUAGGCCUUCGCUUCCUGCUCACUUAGGUCCAGCAGCUUCUGCACACCAGCCUCCCAGGGAGGCCCCUCUCCAUCUCCAUGAAGAAAAUCAAGAAGAGAGCCUGACAUCUCCCAUGAAGCUCCUCCAGGGCCCUGUGAUGCAGAGCCCACCCUAUUCCCCUCCCCCAGCAUCCCCAGGUCUGCUGGGGCCUUACCACUGGGCCCACUGUGCUUGUCUCUUGGUUUCUAUCCUGCGUGCUUCUAUAUUGGUUCAACCAGAGGAAGACGGAAAUCUGCAAUAGUCAUAAACACAUUUAAAUCAGCCAUACAUGGCUGGGUGGCUCAGUCAGUUGAGUAUCCAAAUUCAGCUCUGGUCAUGAUCUCACAGUUCAUGAGUUCAAGCCCUGCAUUGGGCUCUGUGCUUACAGCCCAAAGCCUGGAGCCUGCUUCGGAUUCUGUGUCUCCCUCUCUCUCUGCCCCUCCCCUGCUCUCUCUCUCUCUCACUCUCUCUCUCAAAAUAAAUGAACAUUAAAAAAAUUAAAUCAGCCAUACAGAUUAUAAAACAUAAAUUUGGCUCAUUGUAUUCAUUGUUUGUGGUGGUUAUAAUGAAUAUAGUAACUGUUUCUUGAAAGCAGAAGGCGAGAACCUAGCACCCCUUUGGCUAAGUGAUCUGUGCCUCCUUCUUCAGUAUUCCUUCCCAGGUAUCAUGUGACCACCUCUAAAUCCCAAAAUAGCCUGGUCUGAUCCCUAGCCUCGUGUUCACCUACUUUUCUUCCCAUGGUAAAAAGAGGCAGGGUGACCUUCUUCUAGUGGGUUGGGAUUGGCUUUCUGGGAGUUUCCUUGUGUGAGGAUUUCAAAACUCCAGGAGAGUGAUGCCAGGGGGUUUUGGGGUCUGUUGAACCCAUUGCCUUCCCUCUCAGACCUGCUCCUCCCCCUGUUUGGUGAAUGGUUCCCUACCCUUCAGCUUCCUGCACUCCAGGCCUUAGGGUCUUCUUUUUCUUCUCUCUGCCUGUGGCCUUCCUCUGCAAGGUGACAAGUCUUUCUAGUUCUACUUCACAACACGGUUCAUUUCUGCUCCUCCUAUACUCCAAUUGCCAAAGUCCCAGGUCACAGCGUCCUAACUGGUCCUCUUGCCCCCGGGAUCUCCCCUAACUGGUCUCUGUCCCCAGUUUACUGCCCACAGCAGAGUUCUGGUGUUGCCAGUUCCUCAUUCAGAAACCACCACUGGCUUCCCAUUGUCUCCAGAACAAAAGCUAACCUCCCACAUAUGGCUACAAAGCCCUCCACAGCAUGAGCCCAAGGCACAUUUCUGGCUUUAUCUGCUAUAAGUCCCUUUCCCCACUCCUAUGUUCUACCUAAAUAGAAUGACCCAUUAUCCCUGUCCAUGCCUUCCUCCAGGCUUUGGCUAAUCUGAACACUGGUUUCUAAGUAAAUGAUUAUAGCAAAGGAGGUCCUGUCAAAGUCCAGUUAUUGGCUCUAUUGGUUCUAUUUUAGCUUAGUUUCUCUGAAUAACUUAUUUGGGAACAGAACUCCAAGGAACAGGUGAGGGAAAAGGGAAGUGAUGCAGAGAAGAAGGGAGACCCAACACAAAGAUGCAUUAUUCAGUUGGCCCCCACUAUGGCUGAUUAGUUGCUUGAUCCUGUGGGACUUUUUUUUUUUUAAUUUUUUUUAACGUUUAUUUAUUUUUGAGGCAGAGAGAGACAGAGCAUGAACGGGGGAGGGGCAGAGAGAGAGGUAGACACAGAAUCUGAAACAGGCUCCAGGCUCUGAGCUGUCAGCACAGAGCCCGACGCGGGGCUUGAACUCACGGACCGUGAGAUCAUGACCUGAGCCGAAGUCGGACACUUAACCGACUGAGCCACCCAGGCGCCGAUCCUGUGGGACCUUUUAAAAAAAUCUUAUGAAAUGUUUCAGAGAACCAUCUGUCCUGGGGAUGGAAUAGGAAGCAUCUGUCCAUUGCCUCCCAUUCUCAUGGUUUAUAGGUUGCUCCACUAGUCGCUAACUCUUUCAGUUCUUUGUUGGUGGUAUGUGAGAGCAGAGCAGCUCUUGGAAGCAUCCCAAGCCUUGGCAUCAGGGAAACCCUGGCAGAGAGCAAAUGGAACAUGGCAAGGCACUGCCUCACCACUCCUGGAAAAGUAGUCACCGUAGCAAUGGCUGGAGUAGGAAGCAAGGCCAAAAGGACUUGAAUGGUGUACAAAAGGUGUUCUACCUACUGGCUUUUGGGAACACAUGCUUUAUCCCUCUAGCUCUUCCAACCACAGAUUUCUUCUCCUGCCUAGGGAUGGAGGAGCCUGGGUGAGGAGACAUCCCUGGGCCCUGUUUGGAAGAACUGGUCUCAUACAUCCAGACCUAGUGGUCUCUCUCCCUUCCUUGCUAGGGAGUACUUUUCAAGUAAGGCUCUGUGGGAUGUGGCCUCUCCAGUUGGGAUCAUCCUGUGGGCCUCACAGAAAGCCCAAAGAUGUUGAUUUAUGGGCUCUUUUCCCUCUCUUCACUCAGUGAUUAUUUUCCUUCCAAAUGUCCAGAAACUCCAUCUCUUUUAAUUGCUCCUAUAUCAUCCUUUCAUCCCAGAUAGGAUGAACAGAGUUAGGUUAUUCCAAACUGAAGAAACUGUUUCUGAGAUGUCCCAAUACUGGUACAGCUUCCUCUCUAGUUGAGUGUACACGUGUGUGCAUAUGUGCAUGCAUAUUUCAUUUCUAUCUGGCUCUCCAUCUUCCCUCCCCAUCUUCCAAAUAUCUUCCCUAUGAAAGUCAUUUCCCUGGCAGCAGCAUACUACCAGGGAAAAGCCCUGGAAAAACAGAGGGUCUGCAUUACCAGCCCUGCCUGGUAUUUAAUUUAAUGCAAAUUAAAAUUACAAAGAGAAAUUAAUAUUCAUAACGAUGUCUAAAAUUACAAGGCCUGAUGAUAGCAAGUGUUGAUGAGAAUGUGGAGCAACUGGAACUCUUAUAUGUUGCUGGUAUAGCCGAAGCUGGCACAAUCAAUUUGGAAAACUGUUGGAUACUAUAUACUAAAGCUAAACACAUGUAUGCCCAAUGACCCAGCAAUUCCACUCAUAUAUAUAUAUAUAUAUAUAUAUAUAUAUAUAUACCCAAAACAAAUGCAAGACUGUUCAUUGCAGCUUUAUCCAGAAUAGUGAAAAACUGGAAACAACUCAAAUGUCCAUCAAUAGGAAAAUGGAUAAAUAAAUGGUGGUGUAUUUUAUACAAUGGAAUACUAUCUAACAACAAAAAAGUACUGUUACACGCAACAUGAGUGAGUUUCACAGGCAUAAUGUUAAGAAAAAGAAGCCACACACGAACGAGUGUGUAUUCAUAAUUCCAUUUACAUGAAGAUCAAAAACAGGCAAAACUAAUCCAUGGUGAUAGAGGUAACAAUGAUUUUGGGGGGCAAAUACUGACUGGAAGGGAACACAAAGGAGCCUAAUGAGAUGCUGAAAAUGUCUCCUAUCUUUGUCUGAGUGUGGAUACCUCCUUGGUGUAUACAAAUGUAAAAAUUCAUCAAGUUGUAUGCUACUUAGGAUUGAUGUAGUUUACUGUAUGUGGGCUAUACCCUAACAAAGAGAUGAAUGAAGAAGUGGACAGAGGGCUCUCUGGAGUUUCCUCUACUAUAGCCCAAGGAAUAGGGGUUAGCGUGGGGAAGGCCCAUUCUCAGGUCCUUACAAAUUUAGAUGCUCCUCACCACCUCUUCUGGGGUAACUCUGCCUGACAGGAUCCCAUCUAAACAAUCUGUGCAUACUUAACAUUUUGAACUUGUAGGGACACACUUGGACCCCCCCAGAGUUGCUAUAGAAAUAUUUUAAAGUAGAAACAUUAAAGCAAUAGAAGAUGUAGAAAGAAAUGUAAUCUGAACUUCCCUUAACUAAAGCAGAGCCUUCCAAAAAUACACCUGCCAUUAGUGUCCUUCUGAGUGAUUUUCUAGCCAAUUCAGUCUGCCAUGGAGACAGACUGCCUAAUAGAACCUUCUGUACCCAUGGAAGCCCUAAACCCCCCACCCUUCCACUCCCACUCCUUCUUUAUGUUUGGUAUAUAAACCUUGAUAUCUGGCUAUUCAGUGAGUUAUUCAAUACUGAGCAACUUCCUGGUGCCCUUGUCAAUAAACUUGGUCUUUUCACCUGUUCAUCUGUCUGUUCUUAAUUAAUUUGCAGACCCUCAAUCAUCAGACCCAUGUUGAAGGAGAAAAAAGUUUUUCCUCCCAACAAACCCAGAACAACUUAGCUGUGGCCUGGAGCUGGGCUAUAUCUCAGUGGUCUAGCAGAUUUAUAACCUUGUAUUUUGAGGACAUUUGACCAAGUUGACUCUUUUAUCAGACUCUUGGCAGGACAGUGCUUUGGGCUUUACUUGAUAACCCUUGUCCUGAGCCAGGUUCAUCCCUAUAAUAUGCACUGGUUUCAUUGUGGACAGAGGGGUUCUAAACACUCUGAUGAAAGAGCCAGACCCAAAAGGCACUGAUGACAACUCCAUCCUUCCAGUUGUUCAAGCUGAGAAGUCUGUACUUAUUCUUGAUUUCUGUUUGUUUGACAUCCCACAUCAAUGUGGCAGGAAAUCAUGUGGACUCUAUUUUCAAAAUACAUCCAGAAUCUGAUCGACUCCCACUACUUCCUCUGCUACCUCCCCUGUCAGAGCCACCCUCCUGUCUUGCCUGGACUAGGGAAAAAGCUCCCAUUCUUAGUGCAGCUGCCAGACCGAUCCUUCUAAAGUUAGAUCCCAUGGCUCCAUCUGUUCAUAACUUCCCAGGCCCCAUCUGUUCCCACCUCACUCGGAGUACCAGUCCCAAGACUGGCAAAGCCCUGUAUCAUCUACACCCUCACUCUGUCCUCCUAUCCCUCAAAUCUGCCCCUAGUGUGCUCUAGUCACAUGGGCCUUUUGAUGCUCCUUGAACUUGCUCCUGCCUUAGGCCUCUGGACCUUUCUCUAGAAGUUCCCACUGCCUGGAAUGCUCUUCUCCAGGUAUAACUUUCUCACCAAUUUCAGGUCAGUGCUCAGCUCUCACCGUGCUAUUUCACACAGCAAGCUGUACCUCCCCCCUGCCUCCCCCCAAUACCAGGUUCCUUUUGUCUUUUUUCCUUCUUUUCCCCAUAGUAUUCAUCCCUACAUAAUUCACUUAUUUGUUGUGUUCAUUGUUUGCCAUCUGUCUUCACCAGGAAGUUAGUUCCAUGAGGUUAGGUAUCUGUUUUACUUAGUGACGUAUUGCAAAUGCUGGCAUAUAGUAAGUAUUCCAUAUAUGUUUAAGUUAACGAAACCAGCCUCCAAUGCUCGCUCAGGGUGAGAGCUGAGUUGGGCUGAAAAAAAAAAAAGUCCAGAAACUUUCUGGAUAAGUUUAUUAUGACCCAAGGGUCAAUAGUCAUGUGCCGGGGCACCUGUGUGGCUCAGUCAGUUAAACGUCCAACUUCAGCUCACGGUUCAUGAGUUUGAGCCCCAUGUGCUGACAGCUCAGAGCCUGGAGCCUUCUUUGGAUUCUGUGUCUCCCUCUCUCCCUCUGCCCCUCCCCCGCUUAUACUCUGCCUCUCUCUCUCUCUCUCUCUCUCUCUCUCUCUCUCUCACAAAAACAAAUAAAACAUUAAAAGAAAAAAAUAGUCAUGCGCCCAGGCUUGGAAAUUCCCCCAGAUGUAGAGGAAAAUGGACCCAGCAAAAUUCAGCAAACCCAGGGAGGUAUUUAGCCAGACUUCCCUCCCAGUAGGUUCCUGGUUAGAUCCCAUCACAGGCAACUGGGCUGGAGCUGAGAUGUUGUUCACUUAAAUGAUGACAGGAAAAAGGAAAUGGUGAGGGGAAGUCCGCGGUGGGCAUGAGAAAGGCACCUGAAAUGCAUCAGUCUGUAGAUUAAGCCACUGGCUGCUGGAAUGAGGAAGUCCCUCUCCCAGAUCUGGCAGGGCAGAGAGGUAGCUCACAAGGGGAGGGAAGUGGCAGAAAGGAGCUGCAUUCUUUCUUUCUUUUUUCAUUUCAGUGAUGUAUUUAUUUUAUAACUGGAAGUUUGUACCUCUUACUCCCUUCACUUUACCCAUGCCCGCAUCCACCUCUCCUCUGGCAACCACCAGUUUGUUCUCUGUAUUUAAGAGUUCUGUUUGUUUUUGCUGGAGUUUCUUCCGUCUUCUCUAGGGGGAAGCCCCACACUAGAUCUCAUGCUACAAGACAGGGCCAAACAGAGUUCAGGUCAUUGCUGUGGCCUGGGGCCUCCUCUCCUCUUCUGAAAUCCCCCAGGGGGAUAUCCAUCCUUCCUUUUGAUAAAGUGAAGGAUUUAGGUUGAAUGGGAGGGUAGAAAGGUUCAGCCUGUCGGGAAUACUCUACAGAUCAACCAUGUUUUUGGAACUGGGGUCCAAGAUCUCUGACUCCACGUCCUGGACUGUGUCCCAGGUGGACCUGCUCACGCUCUUCUCAUGGAGUCUCCCCCCACGUUCUGGAAUGACUCUCUCCUUCUUCCAGGCAGCAGAGUUUUGUUGUUGUUGUUGUUGUUUUUCAUCUCAAUGUAGGGUGAAGUUCCAGAAGACAGUGUUGUACACCCAAUGCAGAACCUCAGACUGCAUGGCCAAGAGGACCUUGUUGAUGGAAGCCCAGAGAGGGAAAAUAACUUGUCCAAGAUCACACAGUUCCUGGGCCACUCUUAAGGAAGGAGCUGGAAAGAGAACUUAGGUUUUCUGACUGCACUUUGAAGUUCCUUCCAGCAGUAAGAUUUUGUGAUUUCUUGAUGCUGAUCCACUCUACUAUAGAGUGGCUUUCGUCACAAAACUCUGGCCCUGACAUCCCCCAGGUACCUUGUCUGCUGCCACUGGCUGUGGCCACAGCAGCCCAUUCCUUGGCCCCUGGAAGGGGUGACAUUCUUUUCUAGGGUAUUUGGAAAUAUAUUCUUCAGCCUCAUUCCCCUUCUUAUAGCCAAAUCCCCUAAGCUUCUGUAAGUUGGCACCUUCCCACUUCCCUCUUCCCAGGCUCUGUGACUCCGAUCUGCACACUUUCCCUUUCCCUUCUCCUGGCUAGUGCCUUUCCAGUUCCACACCUCCAGUCUGGACAUGGUCUUGACUCUGGCAGGGAUGCAGAAUCACAGGAAUUAUUGGAAAGAUGUUAGAGAUCAGAGUCCUGCUCCACACUGUCUCCUGCAGAUUUUGGGGGGCUGUCCCUUCUCUCUACUGCUUGAGGAUCAGGAUAGAUGUCAGGGCUCUCAUUCAUUGAGCACCUAAGAUGUACAUGUAUUCCACGAGCAACCAGUAUGUAGCAGGCACUGUGUAAGAGACUUACUCUCUCAUGUCGUCCUCACAGAAUGGCCCAGCAAGUUAAAGAUUACUCCCAUUUUAUAGAUCAGGAGGUUGAGCUUCAGAAAGAUUCUUUAAUUUGCCCUAGUCAUAGAGCUAAUAAAGGGUAGGAUUAGAAAUGAAACCCAGAUGUGCUGAACUAAAAGCCUAAAUCCCAUGCACAAGGGGUGGGAGAAGAGGGAAGGGUUGUAGAAAGGGGGGAAAUGUGAAACACUAUCUUCCAUGGCCUCCCUGGCUGCAGGACUGAGGGGUGAAUAUCACUGUGGGAAUGAUUUUAUAUCUUCCAAUCAAACUUCAGAGAGGAGAGGUCACUGGGCCAGGGAGGCAGCAGGGGUAUUUUGCUGACAGCCCUUGACAUGCACCCUGCUACCUCUCAGCCUGUGCAUUUAUGAUCACCUGGCUGCUUCUGGAAACUACCCAGCCACACCAAGGCAGGUAGCCCGCCCCUCCUCUCUGGGUUGAGGAAGCAGGAAAAGGUGGCAGUGAGAGGCUUUGGGCAGACGUGCUGGGCAAUGAUGGCCGGAGCUCCUGUUAGGAUGGGCUUUCUCUGGGGCCUGGCUCUGCCCCUUUUCUUCUGCUGCGGGGCUGGGGCCCCUGGGAGCUCUGCAGGUAAGGAGGUGUGGGCUGCUCUCCUCACAGGGCUCUGGGUGUGAGUUUCUGUACCGGUAGCCCUUUGUGGUUGAUUAAUUAGAAUUAACCAUAAAGCUACAUCUGAAGUAUUACUAUUGUUGAUAAAGAGUGUGCAAAUGGCAGUGUGUCAGCUUACGCAUGUAUGACACUGCAGUCCGUAGGAUGAAUGAUGUCCUUGUGCCCUAGCUGCCGGUUGUCUCUGCGGGGAGUGUGUGAGGUGGAGGGGUGGGAGGGGCGAGGGAGGUGCCGGCAGGGAAUAAAUCUGACUAAAGCCAAAGAAAGCAGCUUGACAAGAUUCCAACUCCUCCAAGUUUAUUUCCUAGCCCAGAUUUCCUUUAAAAAACAGUUUUGGUGUGAAAAGUCCAACUGUUACAGACUGCCUGGGGAGGGCGGAUUCUGAGAAGGGCAGGGCUUUUAUGAAAGAGACUGACAUGGAUGUGUCAUAGGAACUGUGCCAUGCUUGUCACAUGCAUUGUCUUUAUUAUUUUUUUAAUAGACUUUUUAUUGUAGAGCAGUUUUGGGUUCACAGCAAAAUUGAGCAGAAAAAACAGAGAUUCGGUUCACAUAUAACCUCUGCACCCCCCCAUACCUAAUAUCCCCUCAUUAUCAACAUCCUGCAUUAUCUUUUUCUUUUUUUUUUUAAUUUUUUUUUUAACGUUUAUUUAUUUUUGGGACAGAGAGAGACAGAGCAUGAACGGGGGAGGGGCAGAGAGAGAGGGAGACACAGAAUCUGAAACAGGCUCCAGGCUCUGAGCUGUCAGCACAGAGCCCAACGCGGGGCUCGAACUCACGGACCGUGAGAUCAUGACCUGAGCUGAAGUCGGACACUUAACCGACCAAGCCACCCAGGCGCCCCUAAUGACUAUUUUUUACAGCAGUUUUAGUUUCGCAGCCAAAUUGAGAGGAAGGGACCGAGACUUCCUAUAUGCUCCCAUGCACCAUCUUUUUAAUCCUCUCGGUAACCUCAUGAGAGAGACACGGGUCUUGUUAUUACCCGUCUCUCUCCACAAGAUGGGACUGAGGCUUACCAUCUUGCAACUCAUCUGCAAAGCCAGAAUGUUAUUCCGCAUGUGCCUACCACUAGGACCACGUUGUCUCUUGCACGCGCUCAUGACCUGCCAGGCUUGUGCUGCACAUUUUACAUUUAAUUGAACUUAGUCUUCACAACCCUAUGAAAUAGGUACCUGUAGCUCCAUUUUAUAGAUGAGGAAAAUGCACGCUUGAGCCAGGAGACUUGGUCGGGGUCACAUGAUUGGUAAGCAGCGGAGUAAACAGCAGAGAAGGGACUCAAACUCAGGAUCUAUAGUACACAUGCCUUCCUCUCUGCUUUUUUGAUCUGAGGAAUGGACCAAGAAAGCUGCAGCAUUCUAGAGCUGUAGAGGAUUGGGUAGGCUUUGCUGUGUUUGAGAAGACCUCUGGUGGGUAAGAAACUUGGGUGGGGUUGUGAGAGCCCCGAGGGGUGUGAAGAAGCUACGGGGUUGGAAGCAUCAGGAGGUUUCACAGCAGGAUGGUAUCACAGGGUUCCAGGAAAAGGAAGAAAAUACUUCAGGGGAGGUGGAUGGUCAGACCCCAAGAGCACCACUGGUUGGGCUCUAGGCUGGGUGGGUUGACACAGCUUUGCUUUCACUGUGUGGGGACUGAGGAAGCUCAGAGAAAUAUCUUGGGCUUUGAAGUGGGGAGGAGAAAGUAUAUUCCUGUAAAAGCAUGAUUGCAGAACAACUAAUGAGAGUGAAUGCCAUGACUGACCUGAUAUGCAUGUGGGGACAGCCUGACAUUCUCACUGCAUUAAAGUUGGUUGUGUCCUCUCAAGUGACUCUUUGAGAAGACAAGGCUUGGGAGGGAUCCUUAGUAAUCCCUUACAGUCUUUGGAAAAUAGGACUUUCCCAUCCCCCUUCUCCUCUGGUCCUCACCAUUAUGGCAAGGCAGAUAUGAUCACCCUCUUUCACAAGGGAGGAAAUGGAGGCCUGGUGGACUAACUUGGCUAGUAGGAGGCAGAGUCAGGAUUUGAACCAGUCAUUGGACUCCAGAGCUAGUAGGCAAUAGGCCUGGGGCUGGAACCCAAUCUCUUGCUUCCUGGCCCAGUGUUCUUUUAUUGUUCAGAGAGAGACACAAUGGACAAACUGAGGACCUGGGGCCCUGUCCUGACAGCCAGCCAGGGACGAGGUGACCAACUAGUCCUGCACUUCCAUUGGGUCCUUGGAUACUUUUGGGCCAGUAGAUCUCAGUAAAGACCAUCUCAAACCAUCAGAACCCUGAAAAGGAGGGCUCAUAUUUUGAUUCUUUUCCUUCCAAGAGUAAGGUUACUGGAUAAAACACAGGGAAUCAGCUUAAAUUUGAAUGUCAGGUAAGAAAGCUUUUUCUAGCAGUAUGUCUCAAAUAUUAUGUAAGAAAUACACAUACUGAAAACAUUAUUUGUCACUGAAAUUAUUGCUUGUUUAUCUGAAAUUCAAAUUUGAGUUUAACUGGGCACCCUGUAUUUUUAAUUGCUAAAUCUGGUAACCCUCCCUGAAAGGGUCCUUGGCCCACUUACAGAGGGAACUCUUCCUCCUUAGUAGAUGGGAGAGGCAUGCUUAUCAGCCCAUAAGAAGAUCCUGCUGUAGCCUCCCCAGGGCCAUUGGUGCCAUUCGGCCCACUGUGCAUACAAUCUCACAGGGUCCAUCAAAUGAACAGGGAUGCUCUGCCCUGUAGAGAAAUGCUAGUGGCAUCUCUAAGGAGUGAAGUUUGCCUCACUUGGCUCCCUGUUUCCAGUGGAACAUGCCUGGUGCAUCAUUUCUGUAGUUCUGGGAUCUUAUCCCUGCCACAUCAGAUGAUGGGACCCCAGGGUUCCUUGCUGGAGCCCCAAGGACUCUGCCUGCUCUCUUCCCUUUUGCAGUAGCCACCACCCACUCUGUUUCUGGAGGCUCCUCUCUCCCAGUCCUCCCAGAUACCUCUAAAUACAAAACCAUAGAUGUUUCCUGUAUUUGAAGAGUUUUCACUUCCAUGGGGAAACAUUUGCUGGAUGAAUAAAGUAUCAAUGGAAAGUGACAAGGAUUCUUUGAGAAGGUUCUGAGAGUCGUGAUUUUUGCUCUGUAGUUGUUGAUUCACUUAGACUUAUGCCUCCUUUUCUCCCCCUUGAAGCUGGAUCCUGGCCCCACGCAUUCCCCCUGAUGGCUUCAGACCAAUAAUCAACUAGAUUCUGAGGCUUGCUUGCCUCAAGUGGGUCAUCAGAGGACAUCAGUCAGGUGAUCCCAGUUCCAUGGCUGACACAUGGGACUGGUCUUCCCAAUACCACCUCCUUCUUUCUUGUAUGUAUAGAUGAAAAAUGGAGUAAAAACAACUUCCCCUCCCCACCUUCCUCCCAGUAGUGCCCAGGCCAUAAACACAAGGGCUUGUGUGAAGUCAGUCCACGGGGACUCAUGGCUUACAAAGGUGGUCUUACCCAACACAGGCCCUAGCACCAGCAGACCAGGCCCUUUGGUGACAACAAACCACAUAGAAGUGACUACCAUGACUCCGGGGAUCAAGACAAGUUCACAGGGAGCCUUCCAGAUGACUGAUCUUGUUGAGACCUCUGUGCAAAGCCAUAUCCCUUUGGAAACUCAAACCCUGAGCAUCCAGACCUUUGAUAGGACCUUAAUCCUGGCCAGCACCAUUUCAGAUGCAGAGAUCAGGGAAACCAAGACCAUUUUUCCUGCAACAGAGACCAGGGCCUUCACAAAAAUGAUACCUUCCAAAUUCAUGGUUGUGAUCACCACUCCUAUGGAGGCAUCAGCCGCAAGUGGCAGCCCCACAGGAACUGGAAUGACCACAGUUGAGACAGUUAUAGGCACCGAUCUCGUGGAAUCUGUCUUUGACACCCUUUGUACCGAUGACAGCUCAGAAGAGGCAAAGAGGAUCGUAAUUGACAUCUUGACAUUGGCUCACACCUCUGCAGAAGCCGAGGCCCUGACCUCGGAGAGCAGUGCCUUCUCUGACAGCUCAGUUAUGGCCAUUGCCACCUCACAGGCCCUGGCAUCUGACACCACUGUUCCGGCUAAAGCCUUGCUUGCCUACACCAUCACCGACACUGAGGUUACCAAUUGCAGCGUUGUAGAAAUAGAAACAACUGCCACCACUCCCGGGACCUUGGACACAGAUCAUGAUCCCACAGGAGGAAAGGCCCUGUCAGCCUCUGAGGUGUCAGCUUUGCUUGAUUCCACUGAAUCAGAAUCAGACUUCACCAAGACCAUGACAUCUGCUGAGACCGUGUCAGGAGCCAGAGGCACAGAACCAGUCAUGCCUGAUACCACAGUUGAGACCCCGAUACCUGUUAAUAGCACCAUAGAAGGAGAAACAGCAGCAGCCAAGACCACUACCCCCAGCACAACUUCGGUGACAGUCAGCACGAACCCCUUGGAAGAAACUUCAGCCUUCUCUAUUGAGACAAGUCACACCGAGGUCUCAGUUACAAUCUCCACAGGGACUGGGUCAACUGUGGGCAAAGUGGCUCCCCCUGCUGGACUCUCAGAUAGGGCCUACAGCCACACCCAAGCAACCACUAGCAAGAACUCCACCCCCUCAGAGAUUUCAACCACAGACAGCACAACCAAUGGGUCCAUCCCCAUCAGCAGGAACACCUUUCCUUCUGUGCAUCUGACUGUGGCCAACAGCAGCCCAGAGGCAAAUAUCACCUUAGUCAAGACCACAGCCUUAGCAAAGACCUUGAAGACAGCCAGCAUGACUGAAUGGAAGCCCCCAACAGCCAUGCCCACCACUGCUCAGACAAGGUGGACCACAGAAGUUACUGCAGGUAAGUGGCUCUUGGAGGUGUGAUCUUGGGGAUUUGGAGUUGGGAAUUUCCAGAAUGUCUACAUGCUUAAGGGAUAGGGAGGAAGGAAGUAUCUGGAGGCUUAUUCUGAGCCCAGUCUCUGAGGUCACGUCUUCAUGAUCUUCUAGUGAUUCUUGCCAAAAUCAGAAACAGGAAGAGUUAGGAAGGCAUAUGGAAAAAUGUGGGGUUGGAAGUCUGGAGAAAUAGUUUGAGACCCUGGUUUUGCCCUUAACAAUCUAGUGGCCUAGAACAGGUCCUUUUCCUUUCUGGGCCUCAGUUUCUCCACCAGUAACUGCAGGGGGCUGUGUUGCAUGAACAAUGACGUCCUUUCCAACUCUGCCCUUCUGUGAUAUUAACGGUUGAGUAACUACUGUGUGCCGGGUGAGGCCCCAAAUUGUAUUCAAAAGCCACAGUCCUCAUGCUCUGGAAACCUCUGGUUCAGCUAGAGCCACACAGAGGGGCACUGUGUGAAUGUCUGGCCCAAGUUGCUGCCCCCUGAGCAGCUGGGACCCCAUAAGAGUGGGGCUUGCUGGGCUUGGAGCCAUAGACAGUGACUUUAAAUAAAUGAAUAAAUUGGGCAAACGUUUGGGCAUUUAAAGCUACAUGUCUGAGACAACAGAUACUUCUCAGGGAUGAGGCCCCUUCAUCAGAGGCUGCUGGGUCAACCCAGCUUCUGGUCAGCCUGGAGCCUCCACCUCUACUUCCUGUCACUGUCCUCAUGCCUCAUCCCUGUGGUGUCCUCAGCUGGCCCUGCCUCUGUGGGGAGGUGAAAUAAAAAUAUUAAUCACGAUCACCUUACUGAACAUCUUUUGUAUUCCAGGGAGAGAUCAUAUAAAAAUAUUUCACAACCAGUGAAGCAUUGGCACUGGCUGAAUGUUCUCACUGAUGUCAGGCAGUGAACUACGAGCUUUGCAUGUGUUAUCUCUUCUAAUUAAACCUUCAAAACUACCUUAUGAGGUGGGUGUUAUUGCCCCACCUGACAGGUGAGGAAACAGGUUUAAAGAUGCUAGAAAGAUAGCAGUGGGACUCCAAAUGGAAGUCUGUUUGAUUCCAACUCAUAACCUCCUAUUGUGCUUUUAUUUUUUAAAGCUCAAUUUAUUAAUAUAUCUUUAUUUAAAAAUGCUUUUCUUUAUUACUUGUUGAUUAGAUACUGCAUUGACAUGAUUUAAAAAUCAAUAGGUUCAUAAGGGGUCAGCAUAAAAUGUCUUUCUCCCACUGCUGUUCCCCAACUACCCAGCCUCCAUCAUACACAUAACUGGCAGAGUUAUUUUCUUGUGAAUCUUCUGGCCAUGAAAUAUGCAUGUGGCAGCAAAAACAAGAAGGAUGAGAUAUCAAUAUUGAUAUCUUUAUCAGUCUAUAUAAAUAUAGAAGAGCAGUGACUAGAUCAGUCCUAACAGUAUUCUGAGAGGGGGAAAUGACUACAAGAGGGCAGUUAAGGCAAGCAGGUUAGGGCUCAACAAAAGGCAGAACUUGCCUACAGGGCUGCUAAAUUGGGAAGGCUGGAUCAAAACCUCCACCAACUUGGAACUGGAAAGCAUUGGCUGAGGGCAUCACCUCCAAGAGCCGGCCUCUCUCAGGCAUUCUCCCUGUCUGGACCCUUUCCCAACAGCCCAUCUGUGACUGCUAGUCCUUGAGAACAUUCUAGAUUCACUUAGAUUUCUCCUUCCUCACACUACUCUUUUGACUUCUCUGAAUGUGGUUGGGGCCUUUUUCACUCUUGUUGGGAGGACUACAAGGAGCCCAGUUAUUGGAGAGAAGGAGUCCUCUUUCUCUUUGCAGUGAGUAAAUGUAAGCUCCCAUGUGAACACUGACACAUUUACACAUGAGAGUGAGCACACAUGUGCAGAGGUGUGGACAGAGGCUGGGUAGCAUGGGUCAUGUCAUGAUUCCUGAACUGACUUACCCAUAUUUUCAUCUGCUGCUUUUUUUAAACUUGUAGGUGGGGAUGGAGGCUUUUUCCUUCUGCGGCUGAGUGUGGCCUCUCCAGAAGACCUCACUGACCCUAGAGUGGCAGAGAGGCUGAUGCAGCAGGUGAGUGGGCACUUUCUGGGCCAAGAAAGUAGAGGAGAGAAUUAGGAACUAAGUUUAAGGAUCCCUGCUUGGCUUGGCUUCUGUCUGUUUUUCCUGAGUUGGGAAUUCCCCUUCUGUGCUAUGUAAAGAAAUUCUUUCCUUCACCCCCAAUUUCCUCAGGCCCUAGGAAGGUCAGGCCCUCUGGCCCUUGGGAGAAGAUCAAUGAUAUUAAUGGGCAGAUAGGCAGGACUUCGGGUUACAAGUAGCAGAAAUCAACUCAUUGUAGCUUACACAGAAAAGGCAAGGCAUUAUUGGCUGAGAAAACUAGAAGUGACUGUUCCAGCUUCAGUUAUGGCUGUAUCCAGCAGCUUAGACAUGAUCAUCAAGAUUUUCUCUUUCUCUACCUCUCUUAGCUCUUCAUUGUUCAGAAUCUCUCUCCAUAUGUACAGAAAGGUGACUGUGACAGCCCUAGAGUCACAGACACUUCCCUCUCCCAAGGUCUGCUUAUUAUACUAGGGAAACACUGAUCUCAUUGGCCUGCAAGGGCCACUAUGAGUGACAGCUCAACCACAUGGAAUGAGAAGGACAGGCCCCAAAGGAAAUAGGAAUGCUAGGCAGGAAAACACCCCAUAGAUGUAUGCUCCAGAUGGGGACCAAGAUUGGGGUAUAUUUGUAUAAGUUGGGAAAAUUCUCCUAAGACCCAGAUCACUGGACAAAGCUUCCAAUGGUGGAAUUCUGGGGUCAGAGAUUAUGGGGAUAAUAUGAAUCACUGUAAGGUUAAACUAGGUCAACUCAGUCUAGCUCUUGUGCCCACAUCUUGCUGCUAGGGGAUGAGAAGAGGAAGUAUCUGGGCUCUUAAAGUUCUCUUAGUGGAAAGGGGCCCAUCAGGACUCCCAUAAUGAGAUCUCUGAGCACAGCAUGGGGGUUUUGAAUUGGGACAGCCAAAGAAAUGACAAAUGCCUACUGCACUUGAUAAUCAAAGUAGCAAGUGUGAAUCCUAGUCAAAGAGGGAAGCCAGAAUGGUGCCAGAUCUGAGUCCCCCAGACUGGAAACUAUUUCAGGGUUCAGAAAGAGGCCAGGGAGAGAGAACAGGUCAGGAGCUGAGGCAUAGGAAUCAGGCCAUGUAGGUGUUGGGCACGAGCUCUUGUCAGGAGCGGGACACUGAUGUAGGGCUCAGGGUUCAGGACUCAGACAAACAAUAAGUUUGGAGCCAUAUAGAUCUGAGGGUGAAUUCCAGUUCCUAACUGUGUGACCUUGGGUAAGUUACUCCAUAUUACUUUCCUCCCUUAUAAAAUGAAGUGAAUACUACCUGCUUUGUAAGGUUAUUGUGAGGUUAAAUAGCAUUGUGUGCAUGAAGCACCUAGUGCAUGCCUAGCCGGUGGGGGGCCCAGGGAGUGUUGCUGGCCUCCUCCUACGUUCUCUCUCACUGUCCCUUCCUGUCCUUGGCCUGUGGUGAACUCAUAGGCCAGGUGGGCUGGAAGUACCACCUUCUUCUUUUGCCCUACAGCUCCUCCAUGAACUGCAUACCCACAUGCCUCCCAUCCAAGCGUCUCUGCUGCGUGUCAAGAAGGACUAAGGAACAUCAGCUGUGGCCAGGCAUGGUUGUGUGCCAAAGGGGGAAGUGCUGCUGGUGGUCUGGGCCCCCCAUAGACUAGAGCCAAGUUACUGUGCUGAGAUGUACCUGGGAGCUUCCCAGGAGGUCAGCUGGCCUAAGCCCUUUUCCCAGACCUGGCAGCAGGACCCUGACUCACAUAUGCCUGAGUGUGUGGGGGUCUGGGUGGGGGGUGUUCCAAAGAUGUUCUUGGACUUCCUUUGGCACAUGUGUUGUGUUUCAGUAAAGAGUGACUUGAUCACCCAUCUGUCACCUGCUUUGUGCUUCCAUUGGACAUUAAUAUUAUAUUCAGUGUGGCCCA